UUCUGGUUGAUCCUGCCAGAGGCGACCGCUUUGGGAGUUCGAUUAAGCCAUGCGAGUCGUGAGUCUUAGGGACUCGGCAUACUGCUCAGUAACACGUGGAUAACCUGCCCUAUCGUUCGGAAUAACCUCGGGAAACUGAGAAUAAGGCCGGAUAGUUCACAAUGCCUGGAACGGUUUGUGAAUCAAGGUAGGAUGGGUCUGCGGCGUAUCAGGUUGUAGGGGGUGUAAAGGACCCCCUAGCCUUCGACGCGUACGGGUGUUGGGAGACAUAGCCCGGAGAUGGAUUCUGAGACACGAAUCCAGACCCUACGGGGUGCAGCAGGCGCGAAAACUUCACACUGCAGGAAACUGUGAUGAGGGAACUCCUAGUGCAUGCACUAUGUGUAUGUAGAUCCUACUCUUAACAAGUAGAGGGAAAGGGCUGGGAAAGACCGGUGCCAGCCGCCGCGGUAAUACCGGCAGCUCAAGUGGUCGUCGCUUUUAUUGGGCCUAAAACGUCCGUAGCCUGUUUGGUAAAUCUGUGGGUAAAUCAAUCCGCUCAACGGAUUGAAUUCUGCAGAGACUGCCAGACUAGGGACCGGGAGAGGUGUGGGGUACUCGAGGGGUAGGGGUAAAAUCCUGUCAUCCUUUGAGGACCACCAGUUGCGAAGGCGCCACACUGGAACGGAUCCGACGGUCAGGGACGAAGCCUAGGGGCACGAACCGGAUUAGAUACCCGGGUAGUCCUAGGUGUAAACGCUGUGAACUUGGUGUCGGGGGUCCGCAAGGGGUCCCCGGUGCCGGAGUGAAGAUGUUAAGUUCACUGCCUGGGGAGUACGGUCGCAAGGCUGAAACUUAAAGGAAUUGGCGGGGGAGCACUGCAACGGGAGGAGCGUGCGGUUUAAUUGGACUCAACGCCGGGA
rnacentral:rRNA from 1 species